UCAUACCCGUUCUCUACAUCACUCGUUCAAACUGUCAUAUUUGUGAAGACUUUCUUUUAUAUCUGCAGUUGGCUUGUCAAACAGUGUUCAACAAAGCCUAUCUUGCGGAGAUUGACUCUCAGGCUGAAAACCAGUUUCUCCUCCACUAUGCGGCCAACGCCAACACUGAAUACUGGCUUGGUGCUACAGACCUUCAGGUGGACGGCACGUUUCGAUGGCAUCACUCACAGGAAGUUGUAGGGACGGACUUCCGGUCCUGGGCGCCUGGAAACCCAAGUGGAGGACCAGAGAACUGCAUGGAAAUUGUGAUCUGGACUGAUCACGUUGGGUAUUGGAACGACCAGACGUGCCACGACUUCCAGAACUAUGUCUGUGAGAUCGAGGAUUCCAACCUUGAAAUUGUUGGCUGAGAAUGCGAUGCAGAGUCAUCUCAGCAUUGUGCUUUUGGAUUUAUCGUACAUUUUCAUAUGCAACUAAUUAGGUUAAAAUAAAUAAAAUACUAAG